rnacentral:rRNA from 1 species
UACAGGGGGUGCAAGCGUUGUUCGGAAUUACUGGGCGUAAAGGGCGCGUAGGCGGCCUAGCAAGUCAGAUGUGAAAGCCCGAGGCUUAACUUCGGAAGUGCAUUUGAAACUGCUAGGCUAGAGUUCAGUAGAGGUUGGCGGAAUACCCAGUGGAGAGGUGAAAUUCGUAGAUAUUGGGUGGAACACCGGUGGCGAAGGCGGCCAACUGGGCUGACACUGACGCUGAGGCGCGAGAGCAUGGGUAGCAAACAGG